rnacentral:rRNA from 1 species
ACUCGAGUGGCGAACGGGUGAGUAACACGUGGGUGAUUUGCCCUGCACUUCGGGAUAAGCUUGGGAAACUGGGUCUAAUACCGGAUAGGAGCCAUCUUUAGUGUGGUGGUUGGAAAGUUUUUCGGUGUAGGAUGAGCUCGUGGCCUAUCAGCUUGUUGGUGGGGUAAUGGCCUACCAAGGCGGCGACGGGUAGCCGGCCUGAGAGGGUGUACGGCCACAUUGGGACUGAGAUACGGCCCAG